ACGUUCCCGGGCCUUGUACACACCGCCCGUCACACCACGAGAGUUUGUAACACCCGAAGUCGGUGAGGUAACCUUUUUGGAGCCAGCCGCCUAAGGUGGGAUAGAUGAUUGGGGUGAAGUCGUAACAAGGUAGCCGUAUCGGAAGGUGCGGCUGGAUCACCUCCUUUCUAAGGAA
rnacentral:rRNA from 1 species